rnacentral:rRNA from 1 species
GGCGAACGGCUGAGUAACACGUGGGCAACCUGCCCUUUGCACUGGGAUAGCCUCGGGAAACCGAGGUUAAUACCGGAUACUCCAUAUUUGUCGCAUGGCGAAUAUGGAAAGCUCCGGCGGCAAAGGAUGGGCCCGCGGCCUGUUAGCUAGUUGGUGGGGUAGUGGCCUACCAAGGCAAUGAUGGGUAGCCGGGUUGAGAGACCGACCGGCCAGAUUGGGACUGAGACACGGCCCAGACUCCUACGGGAGGCAGCAGCC